AACUAUUUCUUCCAGUAACCCGGAGUCAUAAAAUUCAAAGUCCUCAUUUUCAUCAACAGCUUCAGUAUUGGCUUUGAUAUCAUAACUGUUUUCAACUGCACCACAAUUGAUAUUAUUAGCAUAACAGUUCACAAAUGGGGUUGAAGAAGAAGUGACAUUGCUGUUGUGAUUGUGAAAGUGGUGAGGAGAAGAAGAAUUGAGGAAGUCACGAAAGAUAAGCAUGUUAAGGGAAGAAGAAGAAGGGUCUUGGUGGUGAUGGGAAGCUGAAGCGGGAAAAGGUAAAAUUUUGUUCAAGUGUUGUUGCUGUUGUGGUGGGUAAGGGUGCUUUGGGAGAUUGAAGUGAGAAAAAUCGGCGGCGGGAGAAGGUGG
rnacentral:lncRNA from 1 species